AUCCUUUUGUGGCCCAAAAUAUAAUGACUGGGUUUUCACAUCAGUACGUGAAAUGUGCCUCCCUCAAAACUUUACUACGUGGACAUUACCAGUCUGACU
rfam:Cavia porcellus supercont2_63 genomic scaffold, whole genome shotgun sequence.